CAAACGGCCCUUUUCAGGGCCACCCCAUUAUUCCUUCCACAAGAGUU
rfam:Aedes albopictus isolate Foshan contig151487, whole genome shotgun sequence.